rnacentral:tRNA from 1 species
GGAGAGGUGCCAGAGUGGUAAUGGAGCAGAUUGCUAAUCUGUCAUCACGUAAGUGAUGCCAGGGUUCGAAUCCCUGUCUCUCCGCAA